UACUCUCGCGAGGGCUCGAGAACCCGGUGAGGCGCGCUUCCGACGUCGGGGCGGAGCCUGGACGCAGAUUGGCUGAGGCGUCGCCGGGAUGGCUGACUGGAUGCAACGGGGCUGCGUAGGGAAGAGGCGAUGAAGGAUUGUUGUAUUUUGCAAGGGAACAGCGUGGCUAGUUCCUAACAACACUGAAGCCUUAAAGGGUAAAUGUCAGCUGACUUCCUGAUGCCAGAUAAAGCCUUUUCCAUUGCUGCACAGACAGGACUAGAAAUACUCUGAAAUACAGCAGACAGAAGGCAGGUACAGCAUAGGUGGUGUGCCAAACUGCCUUGUUCAAAUCUCAGUUCUGCAGUUUUCCAGCUGUGCAACCUUGGGCAAGGUACUUCAUUUCUCUGUGCUUCCAAUUCCUUAUCUGUGAAAUGUGGAUAAUAGAAUGUUACUUAUAAUGCUAUUUUGAGCAUUAAAAGACUUAGUAGGCUUCAAAAACCUUAGAAUUGUGCCCAGUUCUAAGUACUAUACAAUUGUUCUUUAAGAAAAAAGGAGAAAGAAUCUUUAGGAUGGGGCUGCUGGUUGUGCCCCAGUAUUUAGUAGUCUCUUCUUUAGCAACAGAACCCCCAAAUUUCAGCAGAGUGUAUGGGUGUUUGGUAUAAAGACUGCAUUUCCAGCCUCUCUGUUUUCGCUGGGUGGGCCAGAUGACUAAGUUCUGGCCAAUGGGAUCUGAGUGGCAGCUAUAUAUGCUGCAUCCAGGAAAUGUCUCAAAGAGAUCCUGUGCCCUUACUGCUCCCAUGGUUUGUGGUUUCCUUACCAUUCAAGUGCGAGCAUGUUGGCUGCAGCCCUCUCGAACCACCAGGUGGAAUCUUCAAGUUGAAGAUGGUAGCACAGUAGGAUGGGAGAGAAGGUGCCUGAGCCCUGAUAUCAUGAAGCUACCACCUUAGCCCCAGACCUACUAAAUUUGUGUGAGAA